CCUGGCGGCAAUAGCGCGGUGGUCCCACCUGACCCCAUGCCGAACUCAGAAGUGAAACGCCGUAGCGCCGAUGGUAGUGUGGGGUCUCCCCAUG
rnacentral:rRNA from 1 species